GGCAGGCUUCUGUCUGCAGAGCAUGGAGCGCUCUAAAUACCGCUGCGCAGCGCUUUGUAGUCAGGGCUCUCUUGUAAUCUAUAUUUUAAAGAUGCUCUAAAGAUAAAGCCAGGCCAUAUUCUCGUCUCGGGGAGCACUGCCACUGUGCUCUGGACACAGAACAGCCCUGGGGAAGUGAUAAAUGAACCACCUGGCAGGCACAGAGGAGAUUCAAGUUAGAUAUCAGGAAGAAUUUUAUUACUGAGAACUUACACUGAGGCGUUCCCUCCUGCAGCAGAUUCCCCCACUUACUCCUCAUGGUGGUAGAAUGUGGUGAAUCCAAGCUAUUUUUCUGGUCCCAGUCACAGAACAAAGGGAGUUCCUGUCUCUUUAACAGUGGAAUAAAAGACCAGAACCAGCUGGCCUCGUGUGCAUCCCUGGUGCCAUUCCUGGAUCAAAGAGAGUACGCUGGGAUGAGUAGAAUGGAGCAGGCCAGCAUCACAUGGUACCCUCUCCUCUAAGUCAGUCUUAUCACUUUGCUGAGAAUAACAGCUGAGGACAGACGUGCAGCAUGAGAGAAGCAUGUGCUAUUACCAAAAGAAGGGUAGUUGGCAUUAGACAGAAAGCACUGCAGUAGGAAAGUCAGAGUUCCUCUCUAGGCAUCAGUGCAUGAUCUCUGAAGCUCAGGUGUGCACAGACUUCCUCUUGUGAAGACAGCCUAAGAAAAGUGGGUCUUCUGAAUGUCCAACCUAAGCAGCCAACAGAGAAAGAGAAGAAAAAUGAGCCAUGGAAUCAAUGAAAGUAAGGCGGAGACCUCAAUGUCAUGGAAUCAGAUAAGAGCCACAAAGUGUUCAAUAUGCCACAUGGAACACAGGCUGUUCCUGCCAAGGCCAGGAUAGCUCUGAGGAUGUGGUGGGCAGAAGCUAAGAUGACAAAAGGCUGAAGGGAGGUGAAAGUAGAAAAGGGUAGAAGGAAAUGGAAUCAGUGUCAAGAGUUCUGACGGGAAGUUUGGAUGUCAAAAGGAAAGUCUAGAAGUGGUAGCUGGGGCACAUUGCUAUGCUGAGGAGGGGGCUUAUUAAGUAUACACAAUGAUGUUAAGCACACAUGUUUUAUUUUCAGACUCAACAAAUAUGUGGUAGGGUGUGGCACUGGGUGUGGAUGCUGACCCAGGGGUAGCUCUAGUACCAAGUGACUGGCACCCUGUCUUGGUUUUCUCUUUUGUAAGUGGGAGUGGUUAUUGCUCAUUCCGUGGGUAUACUAGGUAUAUGGAAAGAAUGUAAAAGAAAGAAUUGUAUAAAUGGAGCUGCUGCCUUUAUUUGUAGCCACGGAUGAAUGACCCAGGCUGUUUCUUUUUUCUGUCUUUCCCCUGUUUCUACUUGGAGUGUUUCCUUCCUCCCUUCUCCCAGCAGCCUGGUGAACUCCUUCCUGCUUGUGCUUCAGGAUCUAGGGAAGAAUCAUGCUCCACCUGACGCUGGCUGUCCUCGAGCCUUCCGACUCCUUCAUCUGCUUGGUUCUCUACUGCCCUAGAAUCUACUUCUGCCUGCUGGCUCACACUGUGAGGCCCCAUACGAGGUCCGUCAUGAAAUGCCACUUCCUCUACUAAGGAAGAUGCACAGUCCUGGGCAAUUUGAGGCUCCAUGUGUAUAAUUCUAGAAAUGGAGUCUUGGAAUAAAUAGUUCCCUUCAACCGUGUACCAACAGACUCUCUUUCCUUUUAAUUUUCCCUUCUGGCUUCUUCUGUUCCUUGGUGACUGCAUGAGGCUUCCCGACAGUGCAGAGCUGAGAGGGAAGCUCUCCACAUGCUGCUUUCGGAUGACAAAUGGAUUCUGCUGAUUCCUGGGGCAAAAUACUUCUUUCAAAAUGUCACUGUCUGUGAGUACUUUCUCCUUCAGUGCUCUGGCCACAGAGAGCAGAAUGAAGAAUUUUAUGGACAAGCAAAGUAGCAUUUCUCCCUUCCAGAUUAUGCAAAGCACACUUGUCUGCAGCUGACUCCCACAACCCAGUCUGAGUCCUUCUGCAUGUUCCAGUCUCACUUGGCUUCUGCAACUGCCCUUGAACUUGAGCCAUUUUCUGUCUUUGCAGGCUGUUGUUACUUAACCCUUUCAUAUAGUCAUGUAUGUGAUGACUGUGACUUGUCUAUGUUACAAGAGAAACAUUUGCUAUUACUAGAAGAGUAUUAGUAACUGGUAUUAGGCAGUUAACACUGAAAUAGGCAAGUCAGAGCUUGUCCUUCGGGCUUACUUCCCUUAGGAUAGUCUAUCAGUAUUGUUUAAGAACAGAGGGCAGAAAAACUGUGAGAGCCAGAGGUCAGGGGAUACUGGCCAGUGAAUAAUGUCUUCUGGACAUUACAGAACUGAUUGUACUUAUGAACUCCCAGCUGCUAUGGCUGCUGUCACAAGAGCUGCAUGAGAUCAAGCUAAUCAACAGACCAAUAUGAUGGGGAUAGGUCAUCUGAGUUCUCAUUCCUAGCUGAAGAGUUAUUGAUAAUUUUCAUUGUCUGCUAUGAGAGAGAGAAUCAGGGAUUUUUUUUUAGGGGUGCUGUUAGAUUUCAGAGACAGCUUUAAAAGGACAGAAGGCAAAGAAGGAGACAGGAGGCUGACCUUCUACAGAUGGGACCCUGUUUGUUGGCAUACAUAUAAAGGGGGCUGGGUCUCUCCUCCCCACGAACUGUCUGCUUAAGAAAAAAGAUGGCUGUGAGGAUGACGGGUAGAAAUUCUUGCUGCAUAAAGCCCAUGUAGGCCAUGUAGCACAUAGUCCAAAUUUCCUUCCAAUAUUCUCGUUCUCUCCAUGGCCUUGCCUAGCUGCAAGAGAAGCUGUGAAGUGUAGUCUUUUAGCAGGAUACUUUUAGAUUAUCCCUGAUAAGUUGACCAUGCUCCAGUGGGUGACCUCACAUCUGUGUGUAUAUGAACAGUGCUAAUUGCACUCUCUCAAAGAGAGGGGGUGGAGGGAGAGAGAGAGGGUGGGAGAGAGAGAGGGAGAGGGAGGGAGAGAGAACUUGAAAUAGCAAGAACUUGAGUGAGUGAGUGAGUGAGAGAGAGACAGACAGACAGAGACGGAGAGCAAAGAGACAGAGACAGAGAGAGAGAGAGAGAGAGAGAGAGAGAGAGAACUUGAAAUAGCAAGAACUUGGGAGGAAUCUUGGGAGGAAACCUGAAGUUGCAAGGAGAACUUGUGAGGGCUAUGAGAGGAGUUGAGGAAGGGAGUGGAGGUGUCUAUGAUUAAAAUACAUGGCACACAUGUGUGAAAUUCUCAAAGAAUAAAUAAAAUAUAUUAUCCAUUUAAAUAUAAGAAUAAAAAUUGGACCUGCCCAAAUACUUGGACUUCUCCAGGCAUCCUUUCCACUUGGGACAUAAGUAUCCCAAGUUUUUUUGCGCUCCAGAUCCUUAAAAGCUAGGGUGUAGUUGGGAACCAAAGGUGGAAGUCUGACCAUGAUUGACUCUCACUUUUAAACGAUGUCUGCUCUUGAGUGACUUGCUCCAUAGAUGUAGGUUCCAGAAAAGAAGCUCAAGAGAAAUUGGACUUUAGACGUUAACAUCUUACUGAUUAUCCUAAAAUACAGACAUUGAAGUAUCAGUAAUCAGAAGCUGUUGUGAGAAAUGGGUGGGUGGGUGGAUGGAUAUAUAAAUGGAAUAUGUUUUGGAUGUCAAUAUAAUGAGUCUCUGAUACUAUUUUGUUGUUUAGUAUUUUGUUGUUUAGUAGAUAUGUUCAUUUCCCGAUGAACUCUUCUUUGAAUCGUGGGACUCGAGGGGAGCAGAAGAGUUCCUUUCGGCCGCAGAAGGUUGGUUCUGCAGGCACAGCACAGCGAGGAGGAGCUGAGGAGAGGUGGUUUGAAUGCGCAUCAAGGAAGCCAGGGCUCUAUUUUUCCUGUUCACCUCGAAGCCAGCUCCUCUGUGCUCAGAUCUGUCAACAGACUCUCCCAGCCCCUGCCACAGAGGCAAGGCAAAGCAGGCUGAUGGAUUUUGCCCAAAGUUGUUAAUCUGUUAACAAUUGGCUGUAAAAGUAUGCAUAUGGAGACAAAUAGGGAAGCUAAAAACCAGCUUCUGCAGUAUAAAGACAUAAUUGCCACGCAUAAGCAAAAAGAAAGCCCCCUCGCAGAUUGCAAAUGUUAUUUUAACACACUAGGCUUAAUGAAUUUCCUUUGACCAUCAGCAAGAUGGAGGUUCAGAUUUGAAUCUCUGAAUCUAAUUUUUUUUGUCAUUGUUUUGUUUUGUUUCUUUCCCCCCUUCAAUCGCUUGAAUAAAAU
rnacentral:lncRNA from 1 species